rnacentral:rRNA from 1 species
CCUACGGGAGGCAGCAGUGGGGAAUUUUCCGCAAUGGGCGAAAGCCUGACGGAGCAAUACCGCGUGAGGGAGGAAGGCUCUUGGGUCGUAAACCUCUUUUCUCAGGGAAGAAGAAAGUGACGGUACCUGAGGAAUAAGCAUCGGCUAACUCCGUGCCAGCAGCCGCGGUAAUACGGAGGAUGCAAGCGUUAUCCGGAAUGAUUGGGCGUAAAGGGUCCGCAGGUGGCUGUGUAAGUCUGCUGUUAAAGAGUCAUGCUUAACAUGAUAAGAGCAGUGGAAACUACAUAGCUAGAGUACGUUCGGGGCAGAGGGAAUUCCUGGUGUAGCGGUGAAAUGCGUAGAUAUCAGGAAGAACACCGGUGGCGAAAGCGCUCUGCUAGGCCGUAACUGACACUGAGGGACGAAAGCUAGGGGAGCGAAUGGGAUUAGAUACCCCAGUAGUCCUAGCCGUAAACGAUGGAUACUAGGCGUGGCUUGUAUCGACCCGAGCCGUGCCGUAGCUAACGCGUUAAGUAUCCCGCCUGGGGAGUACGCACGCAAGUGUGAAACUCAAAGGAAUUGACGG